rnacentral:lncRNA from 1 species
CUCAGUCCCGCACUGCCGUCCCGCCCCGCCCUGUGCCCGCCAAUCCACGACGCCAUAAUCCCCCGCCGUGUCCCUCCCUUCCUCCCCAUUGGUUGUGACCGCACGUCAGCCCGACUCAGCCUGCCAAUCGCAGGACCCAGAGGGCCCUCUCCCCCGCCCGCUCAGUGUAAUUCGAGUUCCCUGUCCAUCGACUCCAAGUCCUCUCUCCUGCGCCGCAUGCUGCCUCGCGCUCCCUUUCCUUCCCCCUCUACCCCCUUCCGCGAUUUACUGUUUCCUCGCGCCCAACAGAAAUGGGCGACCGCAAGUCUUACUCUCGCCGGCGUUACAAAGGUACCGGCCUUUGACCUCUCCUUGAAUUAAUGUGAUCCGAUUCAUCUUCCCUCCAAGUUUUUUUUUUAAUUUAAUUACCCCUCCCUGCCCUGGCCCUGCCAGCUUCAGCUCCACCUCCUUGGAGGAAGCAGGCGCUUUUACAGAGCGCCGCGCGGCAGGUCCCCUUUCAGCCAAUCACAUCUGCGGAACCGCGUUCCGAGUCGUUUGAGGGUGUCUGGUAAAGCAAGCUCGGGGCGGUGUUGGAAAUCUGAAUGUCACCCGCGGUCCGGAGCAGAUAGGAUGGGCUGGGAAGGUACCCGCGAACUGCCGCCGGAAUUCGCUGGCAGCUGUGCGAGGCUCAGGUGUUCUAGUUUGACAUUUCCCUUCCUGAAAGCGGCAAGGAGAGGUCUAAGAGUGGGCAAACUUCAACGUUCGGUUACAGUGUAAUUAAUGAGAGUGGUGGGUUUUUAUGCAGUGUAAUUAUGCCACGAUUUGUUGUUGCUCAGUGGCUUUUUCACAAAUUUCUACAGAUUAUUUAAAUUUUCCACAAAUUUCUACGGAUUAAUUCAAUGGCAGCUCACUUUCUCCUUUUAUGAUCGGAUGGGUCCGAAAGUGAGGAAAAAGACAAUUGUCUACAAAGAAAGAGGCUGCCAAGUGGAGACAGAAAAGCAGUUAUGAGACUGAUGAUAGAUUCCAAUUUGUUAUCGGUAGGUGUGAAGUGGUAUCUAAUCUCAAGAAUGACCUCAAGGCUGAGAGACACUUGAUACCGCCCUCGCCUUUGCCUUUCCCCAAACAGCACAGGGUUGCCAUUUAAAAUCCACUAACAUCCAAAUCGUAGUUGGCAACUGUACCCGCUAUGUUACUCAGAAUCUCUAAUUAGGAAUUUCUUAUCAACCACGGACAUGCUGAUAUUCCACACAUGUUUAAAUGAGCUAAUCAAUGGACUAGGAUAAUUGAGGGGCAAACCUUCAGUCUCACCAGCUCACUUAUUAGACACAUUUUGAAUUGCCCAAACCACUAGGUCCCUAAUGAAGGAUGCCUAUCUGUUUUUACUGUAACUUUUCAUUACUUACUUGUUACAUACUAUGAUGACUUAAGGGGUAAACACACCUUUCACUAUCCACAAUAUAAUCCAAGCCUGUGUAUAUCCAUAAUACGCUUAAUAAUAGCUUCACAGUUGCCUGGAGAAAUGACUUUUGGGGAGGAAGUUAUAUGACAUUUUUAGAUAAUGCUGCGGACUAAGUAUUAUUAGAGCAAAAAUUUACUAUCUUGCAAUUACUUCAUAUAAUUAGAUACAGUUCAUGACAUACUAAGAAGCAUCUUAAAAAAGUAAUCAAACAUAAUACUGAUUUUCAAAGUAUUUGGCUAACAAAGACUACAUUUUUUUCUCUUAACCCAAGAUUUAAUUCGACCCCUAUAAAAGCAGCAUCUCACUUUAUUGAUCAUACUUCAAAGCAUAUACUCAAUAGUUAAGGAUCAAUAAUUUCUGUUUGGUUUGGGUCUUUCCACUCGUGACUUUCUAUGAUUUUUUACUCCCCUCCCCCUAUAUCCUGUUCCAUAAGUACACGGGUGCUCUAGAUUUUCCUAUCAAUAGAGGGCGUCCUCGAGUCAUUGCAAAUCCUGGUGUCGUUAAACGGAACUGUUCUUCAGAGGAAAAACUUCAUCUCUAUAAGAAAGGAAGGAGGAGACCUGAACAGUACAUCCGGAGAAUCCAGCAAAGCAUACUACGGCAUGAACGUGCAAGUGGACAGAAUUAAAACACAUGCCAGAAACACUAAUGGAUUCUAAACAAGAUGCAGUUUCAUUUCCUGAGCCUAUACGUGAUGUUUUUAACUGUUCUCCAGUUAAUAUGUCUCCAUUUCCAGAAAUCUAACAGGAGAAUCUCUGACUGCUUAACAGAUCACCUAAGCUUGCGAUUUGUGCAAUCCUUUCUAGAGUAAGGGCUCCCCGGCUGCUCCCCGGCCACUGUGUACCCAAAGCAGCGGCUGAAAUAGCCCGGAGUCCAACAGCUCAGCGUCAAGCAGCUCGUGGUUUGUACUUACAUCAUUUUUUUUUUCAGAGCAAGAGUGAAAGUUUAUUAAAAAGCGUUAGAACAGUAAGGAAAGGAAAGGAGAGAAAAUAAGGAAAGUACAACUUGGAAGAGGGCCAAGCGGGCGACUUGAGAAAUCAAGUGCCUGUACUUACAUCAUUCUUAACCCUUUCGCUCCUGGAGGGGGCUCAGCGGGAUCAGGGGGCCCCUGAACUUCGGAACACGCAGGACCUGGGUGUGAGAGAAGAGUCCCAAAGCUUGGCGUGAGCAAUGCACUCGCGGAGGGAGAGAGCCCGGGGCUUGCGGGGGGCUCAUCACCCGCUCGUAGACAACGGGCCCCCGCAAUCCCUGCGGGCUCCGCCGCUGCUCUCACCGCUCAAAACGGCAGGUGCAAAAAGCAUUUGGGAGCCGCUUGCCAGCGCGCGGAGGCAAACGCAGCCGCCGGUCUUGACUGCCAUCGCCCAAGGGGUUCCUCUGGGCUCUCCCGCGAGCCAACAGCCGACCUCUCUCCAGCCUAGUCUGGGAAACUCCAGCCAACCCAGGAUCCCAUUUUGUAGUCCCGGGCAGACCCGAAACCCCUGAAAGAACUCCACUCCAGAAGACGCCAGAACAAGUUCCCACGAAUUUCAUGGGCGCCCUUCACAUGAAAACCUCAGCUCCCCUAUCCUCAAGGAACGGGGAAGGGCGCCGGGGAGGGACUUCGGUGGCCAGCUGUCCCUGGGUCGUGGGCGCUGUUUGCUCUGCGGAGCGCCAGCCCUGCACACAGCGGGUGCGGGAAGCGUUGAUGGGAGGCUGGAGGGCGGGGUGAGCGUAAACUAGGAUCUAGCCGGUUCCAGGCGUGGAGAAUCAAAUGUGGUCCUAGAUCUGUAAGUUGCGAAAAGGGGCUUUUGGGAGCGUCAGAGCUUUCUCACUCCGGUCCCCCGCCGCCUUGAGGCUGGCAGAUUUAUACCCCACAGGUGGAUGGAGACCUAAACAAAACAGUCCCGGCCGCUGCCUGCCGCUCGCCCCCCACGUCCCCCGGGCCCACCGCAAACUUCAACAAAAUAAACAACUCACCACAGGCAUUCCCUUGUCUGCAGCGCGACGCUUGCCAGCUGGGAAAAUAAGCCGCAAGCCACGCGGCCGAGGC